AUUGAACGCUGGCGGCAGGCCUAACACAUGCAAGUCGAGCGAGCGGCGGACGGGUGAGUAAUGUAUGGGGACUGCCCGAUAGAGGGGGAUAACUACUGGAAACGGUGGCUAAUCCCGCAUACUAUCGGAUAACCCAGAUGGGAUUAGCUAGUAGGUGGGGUAAAGGCUCACCUAGGCGACGAUCUCUAGCUGGUCUGAGAGGAUGAGCAGCCAACCUGGUACUGGGAAACGGCCCAGACUCCUACGGAGGCAGCAGUGGUGAAUAUUGCGCAAUGGGCGCAAGCCUGAUGCAGCGAUGCCGCGUGUAUGAAGAAGGCCUUAGGGUUUUAAAGUACUUUCAGCGGGGAGGCGUUACCCGCAGAAGAAGCACCGGCUAACUCCGUGCCAGCAGCCGCGGUAAUAC
rnacentral:rRNA from 1 species